rnacentral:lncRNA from 1 species
ACUGCUUAUUGGAGUAUUAUUACUAUAUAAAGGAGUAUAUAGAUACCAUGGCUAAGUAAAAUUUUCAAAAUAUCUUUUCAAGCAUGUUAAAUACUACUUUUAGGAGUAUUAUUACUAUAUAAAGGAAUUGAAAUAGUUACAAUUUUUUAAAAUAAAAGGUCUAAAGUAAGGGGUUCAAUAUACCGCAGGGGGGUCAAAAUACCAUGGCUAAUUAAAAUAUCCAAAAUAUCUUUUCCAGCAUGUUAAAUACAUACAAACAACUUAUUGGAGUAUUAUAAUCAUUUAAAUGAGUAACAAUAACUAUAAAAUUUUGAAUUUGGAAGUGUUAAAGAGGGGAGAGGUCAACAUACCAUGUCAGGGGGCUCAAAAUACCAUAGCUAAGUAAAAUUUUCAAAACAUCUUUUCAAGCAUGUAAAGUACAUAGUAACUACUUAUUGGAGUAUUGCUACUAUGGUGAUGAGUUAGAGUAGCUUGAUUUUUUCUAAUUAGAAGUCUAUAGUAGGGGGUUCAAUAUACCACAAUGGGCGGGGGGUGUGGGGGGGGGCAAAAUACCAUGACUAAUUAAAAUUUUCAAAAUAUCUUUUCCACCAUGUUAAAUACAUGCAUACUUCUUAUAUGAAGUAUUAUUGCUAUAUAAAGGAGUUAAAAUAGUUAGAAUUUUCUAAAUGAAAGGUCUAUAGUAGGGGGUUCAAUAUACCACAGGGGGGUCAAAAUACCAUGGCUAAGUACAAAAUUUCAAAAUAUCUUUCCAGCAUGUUAAAUACAUACAAACAAAUUAUUGGAGUAGUGUAACCAUUUAAAUGAGAAACAAUAGCUAUUGCAUUUUGAAUUUGGAGGUGUUAAAAGGGGGAGAGGUCAACAUAGCAUAGCAGGGGGAUCAAAAUACGAUAGCUAAGUAAAAUUUUGUAAAUAUUUUCUUGGUGUUUCUAAAUUGUGCACUAAUAUAGGAGUUCUCACAGAACUAGGAAGAUAUCCUCUUUACAUAGACAUGUUAAAACAAGUCUUCAUGUAUUGGCAUAGACCUAAGAAUUCUCCAUCAAACCUGCUGAAUUAUGCAUAUAAGGAGUAUACACACUUACAUAGCUUAAACAAAGGUAAUAAUUCCUGGAACACUAAUAUACUCUUUUAUGGGGAAAAGUUAGGGUUUUACAUCCCUAAGUAAAUAUAAAUUUAAAAAAUCAAUUUAACAAUGUCUCCGAAACAGUUUUCUUGAGACUUGGAAAGUAACCAGAGAUUCCUAUUUACAGGAUAAAGAUAAAUUGAGUACUUAUUUUAAAUUUAAGUUCUCAUUUAGUAAAGAAACCUAUCUAUCCUUCAUAAAUAAUGGCAAUUGUCAAAUUCUUACUAAAUUUAGAUUAAGUAAUCACAAAUUAAGAGUUGAAACUGGUCGUCAUGAACGCAGGGUAAACGUGUCCGGUAAAUUAGAAAAUAUUCCACGAUGUGAAAGAAUUUGUCAAUAUUGUAAUUUGAAUGUGACUGAGGAUGAACUCCAUGUUUUGUUGGAAUGUCCUUUAUAUGUAACUUCAAGAACCAUUUUACUUAAUGAUUUAUUUUAAUGGAAUAUCCAAAACUAAGAAUACUUAAUUCGCAAAACCUAUUUAUAUGGAUUAUGACAAAUGAUGAUGAUGAUAAUUUUAUUAAAAAUUUAUGCAAAUAUUUGACUUCAAACUUAGAAGUGAGAAAUAAUACUGUCAAGUAAAAAAUAAUACAGGUUUAAAUGAUAAUAUCUGGUGAAGAGUUAUCUUUCUUUUGCUGAACUGACAAUGUCGUGUAUAUAUAUAUAUUUACUGUUCUUUUGUUU